rnacentral:rRNA from 1 species
GGGUAACCUGCCCAUCAAAAGGGGAUAACACUUGGAAACAGGUGCUAAUACCGUAUAACACUAUUUUCCGCAUGGAAAAAAGUUGAAAGGCGCUUUUGCGUCACUGAUGGAUGGACCCGCGGUGCAUUAGCUAGUUGGUGAGGUAACGGCUCACCAAGGCAACGAUGCAUAGCCAACCUGAGAGGGUGAUCGGCCACACUGGGACUGAAACACGGCCCAGACUCCUACGGGAGGCAGCAGUAGGGAAUCUUCGGCAAUGGACGAAAGUCUGACCGAGCAACGCCGCGUGAGUGAAAAAGGUUUUCGGAUCGUAAAACUCUGUGGUUAAAAAAAAACAAGGAUGAGAGUAAAAUGUUCACCCCUUGAGGGUAUCUAACCAGAAAGCCACGCCUAACUACGUGCCAGCAGCCGCGGGUAAUACGUAGGGUGGCAAGCGUUGUCCGGGAUUUAUUGGGGCGUAAAGCGAGCGCAGGCGGUUUCUUAAGUUCUGAUGGUGAAACCCCCCCGGUUCAACCCG